GGGCCUGCACAAGCGGUGGAGCAUGUGGUUUAAUUCGAAGCAACGCGCAGAACCUUACCAGGGCUUAAAUGUAGUGGGACAGGUCUAGAGAUAGACCCUUCUUCGGACUCAUUACAAGGUGCUGCAUGGUUGUCGUCAGCUCGUGCCGUGAGGUGUCAGGUUAAGUCCUAUAACGAGCGCAACCCCUAUCGUUAGUUGCCAGCGGGUCAUGCCGGGAACUCUAGCGAAACUGCCGGUGCAAACCGAGAGGAAGGUGGGGAUGACGUCAAAUCAUCACGGCCCUUACGUCCUGGGCCACACACGUGCUACAAUGGCCGGUACAGAGAGCAGCCACUACGCGAGUAGGAGCGAAUCUACAAAACCGGUCUCAGUUCGGAUCGCAGUCUGCAACUCGACUGCGUG
rnacentral:rRNA from 1 species